UUCAAAUUAGGGUCUCAGAAUUGUAAUUUCAUUGACCAUGCCAGUGGGUUCAACAUUAUAUUUAUUUGAAUUUAUCACAGAUAUAACAUUAAUAUACGUUUGAAAAAAGUUUAAUUUCGAAUUAGGUUAGGUACAUCAUUUUAUUGGCUUACGACACUCACGUGGUCCAAGAUCAGCGCGUGCGUGAGGACCGGAACGCGCAACGUGGGAAUGACGUUGGCGGCUUGGCGCCACAAUUGACUGCAGUCGAACUUUAAGCUGUCGGCAGUAAUCAGCACAAUCGGUUUCACGGCCAAACUGAUUGAACUUCAUUUAAAGCAACAAAAGGACACCAAUACAAGGUGGACAACAAUCAGUGAGGAGUUGUGAACCUUCAAAGAGAGUGAACCUGGGGCUUGAGCCCAAACUUCAACCCCCCUUUAAUGGAACUGCAGAGAGGAAGAAAGCAAACAGUGAAGGAGAUGGGAAGGGGCUUGGAUGCGCAGAGACUGGUGCUCUUAUAUGUAGGGCUGUGAACUUUAGUCUUUUAGUCGACUAAUUGGUCGAUGCUGUCUUUGUCCACUGACAUUUUCAUUGGUCGACCAGUUGCAUAAUUACUUUAUUUUCACCAAUAAAGAAAUUUUCAUUGA